rnacentral:rRNA from 1 species
GGGGGAAUAUUGCACAAUGGGGGAAACCCUGAUGCAGCAACGCCGCGUGAGCGAAGAAGUAUUUCGGUAUGUAAAGCUCUAUCAGCAGGGAAGAAAAUGACGGUACCUGACUAAGAAGCCCCGGCUAACUACGUGCCAGCAGCCGCGGUAAUACGUAGGGGGCAAGCGUUAUCCGGAUUUACUGGGUGUAAAGGGAGCGCAGGCGGCGAAGCAAGCCAGAGGUGAAAACCCGGGGCUCAACCCCGAGGAUUGCCUUUGGAACUGUUUUGCUUGAGUACUGGAGGGGCAGGCGGAAUUCCU